rnacentral:rRNA from 1 species
GUAGGGAGCGAGCGUUGUCCGGAAUUACUGGGUGUAAAGGGAGCGUAGGCGGGAUUGCAAGUUGGAUGUGAAAACUGCGGGCUCAACCCGGAGAGUGCAUUCAAAACUGCGAUUCUUGAGUGAAGUAGAGGCAAGCGGAAUUCCUAGUGUAGCGGUGAAAUGCGUAGAUAUUAGGAGGAACACCAGUGGCGAAGGCGGCUUGCUGGGCUUUUACUGACGCUGAGGCUCGAAAGUGUGGGGAGCAAA